AGGGUUCGAUUCUGGCUCAGGAUGAACGCUGGCGGCGUGCUUAACACAUGCAAGUCGAACGGAGUUUUAAACGGAAGUUUUCGGAUGGAAGUUUAAGAACUUAGUGGCGGACGGGUGAGUAACGCGUGGGUAACCUGCCUCAUACAGGGGGAUAACAGUUAGAAAUGACUGCUAACACCGCAUAAUAUAGUGAAACCGCAUGAUUUUGCUAUCAAAUAUUUAUAGGUAUGAGAUGGGCCCGCGUCUGAUUAGCUAGUUGGUGGGGUAAAAGCCUACCAAGGCGACGAUCAGUAGCCGGCUUGAGAGAGUGACCGGCCACAUUGGGACUGAGACACGGCCCAAACUCCUACGGGAGGCAGCAGUGGGGAAUAUUGGACAAUGGGGGAAACCCUGAUCCAGCGACGCCCGCGUGAGUGAAGAAGUAUUUCGGUAUGUAAAGCUCUAUCAGCAGGGAAGAUAAUGACAGUACCUGACUAAGAAGCCCCGGCUAACUACGUGCCAGCAGCUGC
rnacentral:rRNA from 1 species